rnacentral:rRNA from 1 species
GGAGGAUCCGAGCGUUAUCCGGAUUUAUUGGGUUUAAAGGGAGCGUAGGAGGACAGUUAAGUCAGUUGUGAAAGUUUGCGGCUCAACCGUAAAAUUGCAGUUGAUACUGGCUGUCUUGAGUACAGUAGAGGUGGGCGGAAUUCGUGGUGUAGCGGUGAAAUGCUUAGAUAUCACGAAGAACUCCGAUUGCGAAGGCAGCUCACUGGACUGCAACUGACACUGAUGCUCGAAAGUGUGGGUAUCAAACAGGAUUAGAUACCCUGGUAGUCCACACAGUAAACGAUGAAUACUCGCCGUUUGCGAUAUACAGUAAGCGGCCAAGCGAAAGCAUUAAGUAUUCCACCUGGGGAGUACGCCGGCAACGGUGAAACUCAAAGG